ACCGGAGAAGCAAGAGACCAACCCACCGGAAACUGAAAAGCAAAUAAACCCACUACCGGAGGAGAAGCCGUCUGAAAACAACCCACCGGAGCCAGUAGUUUCGGACUCUGUUACAGAAAACAAAACUGUAACAGAAAUGGAAACCCCAGAUGAGGCAAUCAAAGUGGAAGUUACCAUUGAAAAUGAUGUUCCUCCGGAGAAGACAGAGUCAGCGGAGAAACCAACUGAAACAGAGAAGGAAGUGAAGGUAACUAAUUAGCAAUUGAUCAAUAAAUUAUUUUCGAAACGAAAAUCCCUUCAUUAGUUAAUUACCAACUGAGGAACCAUUAUCCAAAAAUUGUUUCAUUUUCGUCUUCUUUUUUCCUUUUAGUUGUUAUGACUUAUGGGGAAAAAUGCAUACCUUCAUCUUUACUUCUCUCUUAACUACUUUUUGUUCUUCUUUAUGUUUCUGUCUCUGCUUUCAUAGCCCAAAUAUUACUUAUAAAGAUAUAUAUAUUAUAUAUAGAUAUAUAAUUCAACUUAGUCUCGUCUAAUUAGUUAGUCAAUGAUUUAACAUGUAUUGAGUUUUUUUCUUCUUCAAAUAACUUAGAUUU
rnacentral:lncRNA from 1 species